rnacentral:rRNA from 1 species
UACGUAGGGUGCAAGCGUUAAUCGGAAUUACUGGGCGUAAAGCGUGCGCAGGCGGUAAUGUAAGACAGUUGUGAAAUCCCCGGGCUCAACCUGGGAACUGCAUCUGUGACUGCAUUGCUGGAGUACGGCAGAGGGGGAUGGAAUUCCGCGUGUAGCAGUGAAAUGCGUAGAGAUGCGGAGGAACACCGAUGGCGAAGGCAGCCCCCUGGGCUGACACUGACGCUCAGGCACGAAAGCGCGGGGAGCGAACAGG